GAAUGCAUGAGGAUAAUCUGUUAACAGUGUUUGUCAUCCCAUGGAUCACCAGGUAUGAUUCGGCCCAUCUAGCUGGCUAAGGUGGGUCUCCCAUUCCUCCUCUGCCAAUCCAUGUGCAUUCUUUCCAGAGAUGCAUGCUUGAUUAAGAGGGUAGCGUCCCCAAAUUGGACGCAACCUCAUGGAAGGUAUAUGAGAGAACUUGACCUUUCAACACCUAUAAUUCCUGUUACUUGGACAGUUUUU
rnacentral:snRNA from 1 species